rnacentral:rRNA from 1 species
GAUGAACGCUGGCGGCGUGCCUAAUACAUGCAAGUCGAGCGAAUGGAUUAAGAGCUUGCUCUUAUGAAGUUAGCGGCGGACGGGUGAGUAACACGUGGGUAACCUGCCCAUAAGACUGGGAUAACUCCGGGAAACCGGGGCUAAUACCGGAUAACAUUUUGAACCGCAUGGUUCGAAAUUGAAAGGCGGCUUCGGCUGUCACUUAUGGAUGGACCCGCGUCGCAUUAGCUAGUUGGAGAGGUAACGGCUCACCAAGGCAACGAUGCGUAGCCGACCUGAGAGGGUGAUCGGCCACACUGGGACUGAGACACGGCCCAGACUCCUACGGGAGGCAGCAGAAGGGAAUCUUCCGCAAUGGACGAAAGUCUGACGGAGCAACGCCGCGUGAGUGAUGAAGGCUUUCGGGUCGUAAAACUCUGUUGUUAGGGAAGAACAAGUGCUCGUUGAAUAAGCUGGCACCUUGACGGUACCUAACCAGAAAGCCACGGCUAACUACGUGCCAGCAGCCGCAGUAA